rnacentral:rRNA from 1 species
UACGGAGGAUGCGAGCGUUAUCCGGAUUUAUUGGGUUUAAAGGGUGCGCAGGCGGCACGGCAAGCCGGCGGUCAAAUCGCGGGGCUCAACCCCGCCCAGCCGUCGGAACUGCCGGGCUAGAGUGGGCGAGAAGUGCGCGGAAUGCGUGUGUAGCGGUGAAAUGCAUAGAUAUCACGCAGAACUCCGAUUGCGAAGGCAGCGCACCGGCGCCCUACUGACGCUCAGGCACGAAAGCGUGGGUAUCGAACAGG